rnacentral:rRNA from 1 species
UAGGGAAUCUUCCGCAAUGGGCGAAAGCCUGACGGAGCAACGCCGCGUGAGUGAUGAAGGUCUUCGGAUCGUAAAACUCUGUUAUUAGGGAAGAACAAAUGUGUAAGUAACUAUGCACGUCUUGACGGUACCUAAUCAGAAAGCCACGGCUAACUACGUGCCAGCAGCCGCGGUAAUACGUAGGUGGCAAGCGUUAUCCGGAAUUAUUGGGCGUAAAGCGCGCGUAGGCGGUUUUCUAAGUCUGAUGUGAAAGCCCACGGCUCAACCGUGGAGGGUCAUUGGAAACUGGAAAACUUGAGUGCAGAAGAGGAAAGUGGAAUUCCAUGUGUAGCGGUGAAAUGCGCAGAGAUAUGGAGGAACACCAGUGGCGAAGGCGACUUUCUGGUCUGUAACUGACGCUGAUGUGCGAAAGCGUGGGGAUCAAACAGG